rnacentral:lncRNA from 1 species
UUUAAAUUCAAGCCGACAACCAUUGACAUUUGAAAUGGUCAGAGACCUUUUGAAGUUUUGAUGGCCAGUUAGACCUGUACGAGUUCAAGUUUCUAGUCUUCUCCAGAGCUAAUGUUCUCUCAAAACAGUUUUCAAGUAUCGUAUUUCUGCAUUUUUCUUAGCCAUACCAAAAACAGAGGUGUUUACUGUGAAAUCCUGGGUGUGGGGUCGUCGUCGGCGAUAGAGAACAUGUCUGUAAUGUGGUCUUUCUUAUCACCAAACGGAUGAAUACCGCCAUUUUCACGCGUGAGGAAAACAAAAAAGACGCAUCCACACGGGAAGACGUCACAUUUGGGCGUUGCUUUAUUGGGUUCGUUAUUACCUCGCAGUUCUGGUGCCAUCCAUAAAAGGGUUCCUUUAAGUCCACUCAUCGAACAGGUUUGAUAUCGCGAUGGACAAGUUUCUGUGAGUGGAUGUAAUCAAGGCCGUCUGCGAUUUCGCACAGAACAACUUGGUCAGGCGGCAACAUUGGACCUUCAAACGUUUUGUCUAUGACUUCUUCAAGGGUUCCCGCACAAAGUUCCAGUACGAUAUACCUAAAUGCAAAGGACUUGUUAUUAAAGUCUGGAUAAUUAGGAAAUAAGGAAUGUAGAUACCGAAAAUCGUCAUCUUCUGCUACUUUCCGAAUGGCCAAAACGUUCGUGUGAUCAAGUUUAAUUUUGCAAACUGACUUCACGCUCUUCUUUUUCCGAACGACUCAAUAAGAUUUUUUUUACAGCAACGCUUUCGCCAUUGAAAAACCCGCGAUAAACAUCCCCAUAAGUGCCUUUACCUAGCACAUCGUUUUUCGAGUAAAAGAUUCCCGUAUCGCUGAUUUCUUUAUACGACCCCAUAACACUGCAAUCCACUACAAAUAAAUUUCAAAUCUUUUUACCGUAAGAGAACUGUAACACUUGUGAAGGUUUGAGAGCGAACGAAAACACUUGUUAGAAUUGAGUAUAAUCAACAUUGAAAGCGGUGUAUAUAGCCCAACCUUUAUCGUCCUUUAGCUGCUAAAUGCAUAACUUAUCAUGUUCACAAUCUUCAAUUUGAUAACCUUUUCAAAAACUUUCUUAGCAGGGGAAAAUGUUGGAGCCAACAGAUAUAAGCAAAUAAUGAUUUGUGCGCUUUAAUGUUAUUAUUUUUUGUCUGAAAAAAAAUAUAUUAAGUGCUUGAA